rnacentral:rRNA from 1 species
UACGGAGGGGGCGAGCGUUAUUCGGAAUUAUUGGGCGUAAAGGGCGCGUAGGCGGCUCUUUAAGUCAAAGGUGAAAUCCCUCGGCUCAACUGAGGAACUGCCUUUGAAACUGAGGAGCUUGAGUCCGGGAGGGGGUAGCGGAAUUCCCAGUGUAGCGGCGAAAUGCGUAGAUAUUGGGAGGAACACCAGUGGCGAAGGCGGCUACCUGGACCGGAACUGACGCUGAGGCGCGAAAGCGUGGGUAGCAAACAGG